AUUGAACGCUGGCGGCAUGCCUUACACAUGCAAGUCGAACGGUAACGCGGGGGCAAUCCUGGCGACGAGUGGCGAACGGGUGGGUAAUACAUCGGAACGUACCCAGUAGUGGGGGAUAGCUCGGCGAAAGCCGGAUUAAUACCGCAUACGACCUAUGGGUGAAAGCGGGGGAUCGCAAGACCUCGCGCUAUUGGAGCGGCCGAUGUCGGAUUAGCUAGUUGGUGAGGUAAAGGCUCACCAAGGCUACGAUCCGUAGCUGGUCUGAGAGGACGACCAGCCACACUGGGACUGAGACACGGCCCAGACUCCUACGGGAGGCAGCAGUGGGGAAUUUUGGACAAUGGGCGCAAGCCUGAUCCAGCCAUGCCGCGUGUGUGAAGAAGGCCU
rnacentral:rRNA from 1 species